rnacentral:rRNA from 1 species
UACGGGGGGGGGCAAGCGUUGUUCGGAAUUACUGGGCGUAAAGGGCUCGUAGGCGGCCAACUAAGUCGGACGUGAAAUCCCUCGGCUCAACCGGGGAACUGCGUCCGAUACUGGAUGGCUUGAAUCCGGGAGAGGGAUGCGGAAUUCCAGGUGUAGCGGUGAAAUGCGUAGAUAUCUGGAGGAACACCGGUGGCGAAGGCGGCAUCCUGGACCGGCAUUGACGCUGAGGAGCGAAAGCCAGGGGAGCAAAGCGGG